rnacentral:misc_RNA from 1 species
UUUCCGUAGGUGAACCUGCGGAAGGAUCAUUAUUGUAUAACCGAGGUGCGAGGGCUGUCGCUGACCCGAAAGGUCGUGCACGCCCGAGUGCUCUCACACACAUCCAUCUCACCCCUAUGUGCACCACCGCGUGGGUCCCCCUUUGGCUUGUUCGGAGGGGGGCUUACGUUUUCACACAAACUUUGUAUGCAGUGUAGAAUGUAUUUUUUGUUUUUGCGAUCACGCAAUCAAUACAACUUUCAACAACGGAUCUCUUGGCUCUCGCAUCGAUGAAGAACGCGC